CAGUAGCCGCGGGAAUACAGAGGGUGCAAGCGUUAAUCGGAAUUACUGGGCGUAAAGCGCGCGUAGGUGGUUUGUUAAGUUGGAUGUGAAAUCCCCGGGCUCAACCUGGGAACUGCAUCCAAAACUGGCAAGCUAGAGUAUGGUAGAGGGUGGUGGAAUUUCCUGUGUAGCGGUGAAAUGCGUAGAUAUAGGAAGGAACACCAGUGGCGAAGGCGACCACCUGGACUGAUACUGACACUGAGGUGCGAAAGCGUGGGGAGCAAACAGGAUUAGAUAACCCUGUAGUCCCUGUCUCUUAUAC
rnacentral:rRNA from 1 species